UAAUGUUAGAUAAACAAAGCGGUGGAGCGAGCUAGAGAAAGAACAGAGAGAGAGAGAGCGAGAGGUGCUAAUGUUAGAUAAAACAAAGUGGUGGAGCGAGCUAGAGAAAGAAUAGAGAGAGAGAGAGAGCGGUGCUAAUGUUAGAUAAAACAAAGCGGUGGAGCGAACUAGAGAAAGAAUAGAGAGAGAGAGAGAGGUGCUAACAUUAGAUAAAACAAAGAUUCCCUGUAUAGGGAGCACCCAGUCAUAUAAUACAACUCGCUGUGCUCCCACUCCAUUUUUUCUUGUUGUUAUGCAAAUGAAGAGUCUGGCUACACCAGUCAUUGGUCGGCUGUCAAAAAAAGCGCUUGACGUAGGGCGUUUUUCAACUUCAAAAAGACGCUCCGAGAUGCAGAAAAAAAGUCGGGGGUGGCGUUUAAAAAAGCGCUCAGGACUUUUAUAAAACACGGUUUACUCCACAGGAUUAGAAUGU